rnacentral:rRNA from 1 species
CCUACGGGAGGCUGCAGUGGGGAAUAUUGCACAAUGGGGGAAACCCUGAUGCAGCGACGCCGCGUGAGUGAAGAAGUAUUUCUGGAUUGAAAACUCUAUCAGCAGGGAAGAAAAGGACGUUACCUGAUUAAAUAUCCCCGUCUAACUACGUUCCAGCAGCCGCGGUAAUACGGAGGGGGCAGGCGUUAUCCGGAUUUAUUGGGUGUAAAGGGAGCGUAGACGGCAGCACAAGUCUGGAGUGAAAUUCCGAGGCUUAACCACGAAAGUGCUUUGGAAACUGUGCAGCUUGAGUGCAGGAGAGGUAAGUGGAAUUCCUGGUGUAGCGGUGAAAUGCGUAGAUAUUAGGAGGAACUCCAGUGGCGAAGGCAGCUUACUGGACUGUAACUGACGUUGAGGCUCGAAAGCGUGGGGAGCAAACAGGAUUAGAUACCCUUGUAGUC